UACGGGGGGGGCAAGCGUUGUUCGGAAUUACUGGGCGUAAAGGGCUCGUAGGCGGCCAACUAAGUCGGAUGUGAAAUCCCCAGGCUUAACCUGGGAACUGCAUCCGAUACUGGAUGGCUUGAAUCCGGGAGAGGGAUGCAGAAUUCCAGGUGUAGCGGUGAAAUGCGUAGAUAUCAGGAAGAACACCAAUGGCGAAGGCAGCUCUCUGGGACGGUACUGACGCUGAGGAGCGAAAGCGUGGGGAGCGAACAGG
rnacentral:rRNA from 1 species